AGUUAGUUGCUCCAAAAACAAGAUAAAAUGAUUGAGUUCUUUUCUCAAGCGGGAGUCGGAGUUUAUCUGCUCUGAGAGCCCCAGCAGCUACUAUUAAUGAGUGUCUGGAAUAUGUUCCUGGCAUUUCACCUACCCUCUCUCCAAUCCUUCCAAGAAACUCACAAAGCAGGUAUUAUUACCAACAAGAGACCAGACACCCUGAGAAUUUACACUCCUUCCCCAAUACCACACAGUCAAUUAUAACUGAUGAUGUUGCCACUUGUACCAAAGUCCAUCUGGCUUCAAAGCCUGCUCUCUCCCCAUUCAACAAAAUGUCUCUCUGCCCUUACUUUUUUUUCCCUUCAGGGCUUUUUCUUGAACUUCUCUUCCUCACAACAGUUAAAUCAUCCAUUUAAAGAUGUCAAACAACCUCCGUGUUCUAAGCCAGACCAUCAACUUAACUUGUAAAACUACCAACUGUUGCUACACACAGGCAAAGGAAUUAAACUUGGUAGCUGAUCAUUUGAUUACAUCUAUCAGUCUACUGGAGGGCUUCAACGCAGAGUAGGUGGAAUUCAUGGUUCAAAUCAGAGUAUUAAUGGGAUCUGUUUGCACACCAAUACCUGAUCUCCUUGGCACAAAUACAGAGCUGAUU
rnacentral:lncRNA from 10 species